UACAGAGGGUGCGAGCGUUAAUCGGAAUUACUGGGCGUAAAGCGCGCGUAGGUGGUUAUUUAAGUUGGACGUGAAAUCCCUGAGCUUAACUUAGGAAUGGCGUUCAAAACUGGAUGACUGGAGUGGAGUAGAGGUGAGUGGAAUUUCCGGAGUAGCGGUGAAAUGCGUAGAUACCGGAAGGAACACCAGUGGCGAAGGCGACUCACUGGACUCUAACUGACACUGAGGCGCGAAAGCGUGGGGAGCAAAC
rnacentral:rRNA from 1 species